CCAAGGAGUCUAACAUGUGCGCAAGUCGCUCGGUCUUGAUUAGGCCAGAAAGGCGCAAUGAAAGUAAAGUUUGUAUGUUACGAUCCUCUGUACGUAUGCUUCAGUAUGCGUGCACGGGGCGCAGUAACGGCCCUCCUAUUUUGCUCAUAUCGACAAUUGGGAGGAGUCAUAGCGUACACGUUGGUACCCGAAAGAUGGUGAACUAUGCCUGGGCAAGACGAAGCCAGAGGAAACUCUGGUGGAGGUCUGUAGCGAUUCUGACGUGCAAAUCGAUCGUCAGACCUGGGUAUAGGGGCGAAAGACUAAUCGAACCAUC
rnacentral:rRNA from 1 species